AUUUGUUGUUUUGAGUUUUGAUGAAGCACAAAAUCUGCUACCAGUGGUGCGAGGUGAUGCCGGAGGCUCUGGAGUCCACAACGCGCACUCUACGUCAAAUACCUGCAAGAAAAGAAUAGGUGAUUCUGGUGUGGGGAUCGGCGAUUCUCUUAGUGGUGCUCUGGUGGAGGUGGAACUUAUGUUGUGUCUUUGAGUGUCCCCUUGGGACCCUUUUUAUAGGGUCUCGGAGGGCGCGAUCAAAGGCGGACAUCGCGCUUAUUG
rnacentral:lncRNA from 1 species